AAGAGAGGGAAGAAGAAUCUCAGGUGCGGCUCCGACGGCGACGUGUUUGCCUCAUUCUAACUCGUGGCAGGUGACGGAUAAUGAGGCGACGUGCGCCCCCCUCAGGGAAGGAGAUUAAAAUCAAGCGGUGUCGAAUCAGUCCGGAUCGUGUCUCGCCUCUCUCGCCCACCCCAAGACCUUGAUGCAGCAGGAGAGAGAUGAGGUGUUCUGAGGCAAGGACGAGAAGCUGUGGCCCUGCUCAUAAGACUUCUUUGGCUACAAAACCCGAAGUCCCUCAAAUAAUUCUUCCCUCUCUCAAACGAAGAUGAACGGCAGAAAAGAAUACUACAACGAGUGAAUUCCCGAAGCUGUAGCAAACACACCAUUGGCUUUGAGCGCCUCCCAGAUAGCUCGUCCCUUCUUCCUUUCCCCGCCGGUGCUAAGGAUCGGAGGCAAAAAGCCUUGCACGUGAGAUAAGGUUGCUGCUGGGCUACUCAACUCAAGACCAGCCGCCACAAAUUCACUCAAGGGAAGAAAAAUCAAACCACCAAUCACUCGGCGCUUCAGACAAAAGAUCAUGAUGCUUCGGUCGUCGCCUCGAAGCACUACGUCGGUGAGCACCAGUGGUCAGUUACCCUCUGCUGCCAGAGGAGAGUGGAAGUGCUGAUGACUCCCGAGGCCAUAGACGUAGAUCCAAGCUGGGGAGAGUGAAUCACCUUGCUGCCCCACAAGUCCCAGCCCCUUGGUACCCCCGCCCCUUACCAAGAAACUGUCACCCUGCCUGCAGCGCUCCACUCACCGUGUGCUGAGGGAGGCGAUGGUGCGGAUGAGGAUCUGCUGGGGCGCCAGGCUGUGGGCCAGGAGGUGCUGCUGCUCCUGCCAGCCGUCCCUCGCCCAGCUCCCUGCCCCCGCCCCGCCUGCAACGUUUAGGUCAUCCUCGGAGUCAUCGUAGCGGUGGGGGGCUCCUCGGAAGUCCUCUCGCUCGCAGGAUCUGGAAAGAGAAGGGAGGAGGUGACACCUGAAGGAAGACGUGACUCCUUUUAGUGGAGACAUCACGGGCUGGCAGGCAUUGAUGUGGAGACUGAGCAUUCUCUGAGGACCUGGGUGAGACAAUUCAAAGAUGGCAGAAAAGUAACUGCAUUCACGCCCACAUUACAGAGGGGGACAUAUUUUCAGCACGGCAGUCUUUGAAAUUCCUCACCCAGUUACUCAAAAAUUUCCUUUGUUCAGUGUCUGGCUAUAUCGAAUGGGGGUGUUGAUCUGUACAGUUACAAGAAUUACUUUGAAUAAACUUAAGGGGACAUUCAAA